rnacentral:rRNA from 1 species
CAGCCGCCGCGGUAAUACGGAGGGUGCAAGCGUUAAUCGGAAUUACUGGGCGUAAAGCGCACGCAGGCGGUUUGUUAAGUCAGAUGUGAAAUCCCCGAGCUUAACUUGGGAACUGCAUUUGAAACUGGCAAGCUAGAGUCUUGUAGAGGGGGGUAGAAUUCCAGGUGUAGCGGUGAAAUGCGUAGAGAUCUGGAGGAAUACCGGUGGCGAAGGCGGCCCCCUGGACAAAGACUGACGCUCAGGUGCGAAAGCGUGGGGAGCAAAAAGGAUUAGAUACCCGCUAGUCCCUGUCUCUUAUACA